rnacentral:rRNA from 1 species
AUUGAACGCUGGCGGCAUGCCUUACACAUGCAAGUCGAACGGCAGCACGGGUGCUUGCACCUGGUGGCGAGUGGCGAACGGGUGAGUAAUACAUCGGAACAUGUCCUGUAGUGGGGGAUAGCCCGGCGAAAGCCGGAUUAAUACCGCAUACGAUCUACGGAUGAAAGCGGGGGACCUUCGGGCCUCGCGCUAUCGGGUUGGCCGAUGGCUGAUUAGCUAGUUGGUGGGGUAAAGGCCUACCAAGGCGACGAUCAGUAGCUGGUCUGAGAGGACGACCAGCCACACUGGGACUGGGACACGGCCCAGACUCCUACGGGAGGCAGCAGUGGGGAAUUUUGGACAAUGGGCGAAAGCCUGAUCCAGCAAUGCCGCGUGUGUGAAGAAGGCCUUCGGGUUGUAAAGCACUUUUGUCCGGAAAGAAAUCCUUGGCUCUAAUACAGUCGGGGGAUGACGGUACCGGAAGAAUAAGCACCGGCUAACUACGUG